GACGAACGCUGGCGGCGUGCUUAACACAUGCAAGUCGAACGAAGAGCGACGGAAGCUUGCUUCUAUCAAUCUUAGUGGCGAACGGGUGAGUAACGCGUAAUCAACCUGCCCUUCAGAGGGGGACAACAGUUGGAAACGACUGCUAAUACCGCAUACGAUCUAACCUCGGCAUCGAGGAUAGAUGAAAGGUGGCCUCUACAUGUAAGCUAUCACUGAAGGAGGGGAUUGCGUCUGAUUAGCUAGUUGGAGGGGUAGCGGCCCACCAAGGCGAUGAUCAGUAGCCGGUCUGAGAGGAUGAACGGCCACAUUGGGACUGAGACACGGCCCAGACUCCUACGGGAGGCAGCAGUGGGGAAUCUUCCGCAAUGGACGAAAGUCUGACGGAGCAACGCCGCGUGAGUGAUGACGGCCUUCGGGUUGUAAAGCUCUGUUAAUCGGGACGAAAGGCCUUCUUGCGAAUAGUGAGAAGGAUUGACGGUACCGGAAUAGAAAGCCGCGGCUAACUACGUG
rnacentral:rRNA from 1 species